GUUGUAUUGCCUGGAAAGGAAACGCAGAAAUAGUUCCAAAUUGGAAAGGAGUUGGGUGGAGCAGUCGAAUGACCUGUCACAGCGACCUGCCAUUCUGCAGUUUAUAGGCAGCCCCUUUGCCUUAGAAGAUCUAAGAAUUUCCAUCCACAUGACAAAUCAGGUCCAGAAUUGGCUUUGCCGGACCAGAGGAUGCAGAAGUCUGGGGAGGCUCCCAGCCAGCACUAGGCUUGGCACUGCUAUGCCACGGCCACUUAGGGCUGGGAGGCUGUGCCACAGUUUCAGGGACACCAGGUUUGAUGGAGGGCGUAGGGGGAAGAAUUCAGUCAAUGACCUCAACCCCUUCAGUAAGAAAGGGUCUUUUCACUCAGCCAUCAUCAUUUAAUACUUUCAUUAACACAGAGAAGCAGCAUGUUGGCAGGCACCAGACUGGCGUGGUUUCUCUUGUGUGCAAAUUGUGAUGCUGCCUGCCUGCUUGGUGUGCAUCUCCUUGUUCCUGGUGUGGGGCCAGGAGCCUUCACCACAAGGUUGGGCAUGGUCCGACCAUGCUGAUGCAGCAUGGCCAGUGGCAAGUCAGCAGACGUGUGCCAGACCAGGCCUGGGGCCUUGCUGGUGAGCACAAAGUAGGCACCACUGGUUUGGGUUUCCUCAGUGGGAAGGCAGAAAUGGGAGGAGACGAGACAGCUCUUGACAGUGAGAGGGAGAUAGAGGUGCCUGCAUCUGGGAAAAAAUAGCCACUUUUGCAAGAAUGAGUGGUUAAAAAAAAAACAAACAAAAAAUAAGUAUUUUCAAUAUAUUACAAACAAAAUUAUCUGCCAAAAGGGCAAGAUAAUUAUCUCAAUGUGAUUUUUGACCAAGAUAAAUUUAUCUUAUUUUAUAAACUGGGUAACAAUUUGAAUCUUAUGCAAAACCUAGAAAUAAAUCUAAAAAAUAUGCUAAUGUAAUAAAAUCGAAAUUAUUAGCACUCCAAGUGCCAUACUUGAGGCAGUAAAACCUUUUAAGUUCCAAUGGAAAAUAGGCUAGUAAAACUGGAGUAAGUUACUCUACUUUAAUCACUUGAUAAAUAGCUACAAUGUUUGGAAGAAUUGAUAGUGUCAUUA
ensembl:lncRNA